GGGGGUAUAACUCAGUGGUAGAGCAUUUGACGGCAGAUCAAGAGGUCUCAAGUUCAAAUCUGGUGCCUCCU
rnacentral:tRNA from 1 species